rnacentral:rRNA from 1 species
UACGUAGGUGGCAAGCGUUGUCCGGAAUUAUUGGGCGUAAAGCGCGCGCAGGUGGUUUCUUAAGUCUGAUGUGAAAGCCCACGGCUCAACCGUGGAGGGUCAUUGGAAACUGGGGAACUUGAGUGCAGGAGAGAAGAGUGGAAUUCCACGUGUAGCGGUGAAAAUGCGUAGAGAUGUGGAGGAACACCGAUGGCGAAGGCAGCCCCCUGGGUCAAGAUUGACGGCUCGAUGCACGAAAGCGUGGGGAGCAAACAGG